GACGAACGCUGGCGGCGUGCCUAAUACAUGCAAGUCGAACGCAGUGGGAACGUGUGAGUAACACGUGGGUAACCUCCCAUCAGAGGGGAUAACACUUAGAAACAGGUGCUCAACCCAUAUUGAUUGAUGGACCCGCGGGGCAUUAGCUAGUUGGUGAGGUAACGGAUCACCAAGGCAACGAUGCAUAGCCGACCUGGGAGGGUGAGCGGCCAACCUGGGACUGAGCCACGGCCCAGACUCCUACGGGAGGCAGCAGUAGGGAAUCUUAGGCAAUGGACGAAAGCCUGAUCGAGAAAAGCCGCGUGAGUGAAGAAGGUUUUCGGAUAGUAAAACUCUUUUGUUAGAGAAGCGGUAUCUAACGAGAAAGCAACGGCUAACUCCGUGCCAGCAGCCGCGGUAAUAC
rnacentral:rRNA from 1 species